UACGUAGGGUCCGAGCGUUGUCCGGAAUUAUUGGGCGUAAAGGGCUCGUAGGCGGUUCGUCACGUCGGGGAGUGAAAACUCGGAGCUCAACUCCGAGCCUGCUUCCGAUACGGGCAGACUAGAGGUAGGCAGGGGAGAGCGGAACUCCUGGUGUAGCGGUGGAAUGCGCAGAUAUCAGGAAGAACACCGGUGGCGAAGGCGGCUCUCUGGGCCUUACCUGACGCUGAGGAGCGAAAGCGUGGGGAGCGAACAGG
rnacentral:rRNA from 1 species